rnacentral:rRNA from 1 species
GACGAACGCUGGCGGCGUGCCUAAUACAUGCAAGUAGAACGCAGUUGCGAACGGGUGAGUAACGCGUAGGUAACUGCCUCAUAGCGGGGGAUAACUAUUGGAAACGAUAGCUAAUACCGCAUACUGUGAGAUGGACCUGCGUUGUAUUAGCUAGUUGGUGAGGUAAAGGCUCACCAAGGCGACGAUACAUAGCCGACCUGAGAGGGGGAUCGGGCCAACUGGGAAUGGGGAAACGCCCAGACUCCGGCGGUGGGGAGCAGUAGGGAAUCUUCGGCAAUGGACGGAAGUCUGACCGAGCAACGCCGCGUGAGUGAAUGAGGUUUUCGGAUCGGAAAGCUAUGUUGUUAGAGAAGCGGUAUCUAACGAGAAAGGGACGGCUAACUACGUGCCAGCCGCCGCGGUAAUAC